ACGUCGUAAGAACCUUACCAGGGUUUGACAUGCACGUGCACCAGCCAGAGAUGGUUGUCCCUUCGGGGCGCGUGCACAGGUGCUGCAUGGCUGUCGUCAGCUCGUGCCGUGGGGUGUUGGGUUAAGUCCCGCAACGAGCGCAACCCCUGUGGUCGGUUAGGAUGUCCGACGAGACUGCCACGCUAAACGUGGAGGAAGGUGGGGAUGACGUCAAGUCAGCACGGCCCUUAUGUCCUGGGCGACACACACGCUACAAUGGGCGAGACAACGGGUAGCCAACCCGCGAGGGGGAGCCAAUCCCAGCAAACUCGCUCUCAGUUCGGAUGGCAGGCUGCAACCCGCCUGCCUGAAGCCGGAGUUGCUAGUAACCGUGGGUCAGCACACCACGGUGAAUACGUUCCCGGGUCUGUACACACCG
rnacentral:rRNA from 1 species